AGUUUAAUGUUAAAUUAUAGAGCUGCAGAAAUAAUCACUGGCCUCUAAGAAAAUGUUCUUUUCAUCCUCACAUCAGCUCUAUGUUCAUGAGAAUUGACUUAAAAGUUCUGUUAAAUGUAAAACAUAAUGGAUGCAAUAAAGAGCGGUCUAUAAAUAUGAGGUAAAGGUUAGCGACAUGUAGCAGAAAUGGUCAACGUAAAGAAUUAUGAUGCUUAGCCUGGCACUUAGACAAACUACAAAAAAGAGACGCAUUGAAACCAAAAAACGCAUUUGGACAUUUGUAUCUUAAGUACAAAUCUUUAAUUUAAUAAAAAUGAAAAAUAUAUAUAUAAUUAACCUGAGUAAUUACUUCAUUUAUAUAGUAUAACAACAAAAGUAUAGAUGGAAAGACAGAUGAAGAAUUGAAAACUAAUGGUGAGCUUUUUUUAUCUGUUUUUAUUUUUUUUUAUUUUGGUCUGAAGGUCAGAGACAGCAGCAGAUGCUGAAGGUAACGAACCAUGUGGACCCUGAAAUUCUCCAAAAUUAGCUAAAUCAAGCAAGGCAGAGCAGGUCUGAGCCGCAUCGAGGUCCACAAAAAAAUGUCACCUCUUCAGAGAGUGAUAAAUGCCUCUGAGCGACAGAUUCAAGGUCAACAUUUAUCUUUCGGAGGGAGCGGGAGACAACGUUUUUGUGUGCUCUUCGCAUGGCCUUUUUGAUAACAAACUGUGUAACGUUAAUACCACAGAGUUUUCUCCACGUUGUCUGCAUUUUCUCUGGGAAAAGGAGCAAAGAAAAAAAGUUUCUCUUUCCACACAAAUCUCGACUUCCUCCAAGGAGUUUCUCCUCGGUGUUGGGUCUGCGUUGGCGCAGCGCUGAUGUAUAGACUAAUAAUCCCGGGUUUCGAUCUGAUGCCUGAGUGAACAGUGAAUGUCGAUAAUGUUUAUUGUCUUAAUGCUUAGUAAUAUUGUGCUUUCUGUGCUGUUUUGUGUUCAGCGCUUUAUUUUAUUCUUUCUGUGGACAGUAGAGACCUCACACUGGCCCCUCCAGGCACACAGUCAAUAAUAAAGUCAGUCAAGUGUUUUUUAUAAGAUAGUAACUUUAACUUUUUACUGUGUUGCUCUGCUCUACAGUGUGUUUGUGUGUCGUUGUUUGUUUUCUACCUAUGUCCACAGUGAUACUUGUGAGAGUUAUUUGCACAAUUACGCAAUAUUUUUAAAUGAGGACAUUUUCCAUCAUUCACAUAUCAAGACAAACUGUUUCUGCUUUGUCUUUGGUUUGAUAAGUGAAAAGAAAAGCAGGAAACUGAUGACCUUCUGAGGUAGUUAUAUUAGAUGUGUUGCGCUAAAGGACGCUUCAAACAAACAAUGGUAGUUAAAAUAGGGCCAUCCAGCAUUUGCUGGGAGUGGGAAGAGAAUCAACUUGCAGACUCACAUUAUUUUUGCGAAUGGUUUUUGCAUCAGUGAUGGGCGUUCUCUAGAAUCUGACACAAUAGAAGCAAAAUACAUGUAUUCAAACUCAAUAUCAAACGAGUUAUUCUCUUCCAGUGUUUGUUCUUUUGUUGAUAAAGAAGAGACACUCUUGUGAAACAGUUAUUUGAUGCACGCAUCGCUAAUGGUUUGUCACCCAAUCGUUGCCCUUCGAGCAUUCAGGUACCCAGAAUCCCACACCUAUUUAGGGGGAGAAUUGGGACUCAAUUAUUCCUGUGAGAAACACUUGAGUAGUCAUGUCUAUGACAAAUAAUUUGCUUCAUUUACUACAUUUCCAUGUGUGUCUUCCCAAUUACAAAUAUUGAUUGAGGUGAAAUGGAUCAUUUUAAAAAGGCUCUGCAUCUGCAUAAUUGUGAAUUCAUAGUUUUUGAUGGAAGUUUUCUCAUGGGCCUGAAAAACAAGACAAAAUAAAAGUCAGACGCCCAGACUCGUCCAGAUCCAUUUUUAUUUUUAAAUAAAAAAAUCAGUUAUAAGAUUUCUUUUUCUUGGCAUGUGCCACAUUUUCCUCUUACAUGUCUCUGUUUGCAAGAUGUUUUGCCAGAUUGGAUGUAUUGGCUCUGUCUGCAUGAUCAGCUUUGGAGCAUAUUUUCUUUCACCGGAGCUUUGCUGUGUCCGUCAGCUUGUCCUGACCGUGAGCUUACUAAGCAAAAUAAUGCCAUUUUUCACUUUGUGCGUCUGCUUUGUCAACAAUCUGUGGACCUUUUGGCAGCAGCACUUGUAUCUGCUGUCCCGCCGGUUGUUUUGUUGCUUCAGAGCUGAAUAGGAGCACAACACGACUCAGUAUACAGUCCCGCUAUUGUAUUAGUGUGUACUGCGUUUACUGCGAUGUUUUACAUUAGGUUUGGAUUUAUAAGCUAUGGUUGAUUUGUUGUGUUCACUAGUCAUCAAGUGACGCAAUUACCAUUUUGCACAAAUGCACGGGAACAUUUUGUCAUCCAGUUACAAGUAAGAUACCCUUUGUUUACUAUUAAAUAAACUGUUUAAGCAUGUAUGGCAAUCAUCAUUCAACAUACACAUAAAAAUAAUAAUUAAAUAAAAAAAUUAAAAUUAUUAUAAAUUAUAAAAAAUAAUUUGCAUCAAAUUGCUUUAUAUUUGUAUGUCACUCCUAAUUUGAUCCUUAGAAUUUUUUUUUAACAAUUACUGAUUUAUUAUUUAUUAUUAUUAUUUAUUAUUUAUGAUUAAUUUAUGCAAUUGCAGUGCCUUGAUUUUAUGGCAGUUUAGUACACAGUCCUAAACCUGUGACGAGGUAAUUAAUAGUUGUCGGCCUUUGUUUCCUCAUUUUUGGUUUUGGCCAAGAAUUUUAAUUUUGGUGCAACCCUAAUCAAAACAUGGUAUAAAUAUUACUGCUAGUUGUAGUAGUAGUGUUGAAAAUAAAACAUGGUAUAAAUGGUACUGCUCCAAACAGAGCAGGUUAAUGAUAGUAAUCAACAGCUGAAUAGUUCCUUGCAGCCGCACUAUAAUUUCUUUUCAACCAGUGUAAAAAGUGAUAUAAACUACAGUAGCAGUAAAGGAGGCGCUCACAAUGACGCAGCAAUAUGUAAAUAACUGCUCUCAUUAGAGCCACCGCUGCUAAAGCACUGCUGCUAAAGCACUGCUGCUAAUGAAAAAUGAUGUAUAAUUGUGCACAUCGUAGCAAUUUUCCGUGAGGCGACUGAGUUCUGACAGAUACAGUAUAUUUAAACCCCAGAAAAGGUGUUUUCAUCGCUGCUGUCCAAAGCCUUUGUUUGCUGAGAUAAAUCAGCUUCCCGCUGGCCUCGCUCUGAUGCGGCGAAUGAAAAGCGGUUCUGUACAAAGGGUCAGAAAGGGAAGUUUCCUAAUGGCCUUGGUCGUCAAAAGGAAGUUAGAAAUGUGAGCCGCUGUGCUGGAGACACGUGCUCACCGGAGCUCUGCGGCUCCUCUGUAGCAUGCAGGGGGGGGGGAAUGAGGGAGGGGGAGGAGGGAAGGAGGAGAACCUUGGCCAUUCAGUCUGUUUUGCAAAGCAACACAAACUCCUUUGCCAACUUUCCGCGCUGAUUCAUUCAGCAUUGGAUCUGUUGAUAAUGGAGCAAAGUGAGGUGUAAGGGCAGGGGGUCAAGGUGCAAAACCCACCUGACCAACUUUAAACAAGCUGUGGUUUUGUUGCCCAUAGCAACAAGGCUUUGAUUCCACCGUUUCUGUCAGGGAAACAAACAACAGCGUUGGUUUUCAGUGGGAUCUGGUGAAAAUAUUUAGAGGAAAAAAAACUUGUUAGAACCAUGUUGAAUGAGUUUUAAUCCAAGGUCGAGCAGGUGGAACUGUUUUUAUUAAGGGAUAAAGGUCAACCUGGUCAGAUAAUGAGGGAAUUCAGCUAAACAAAGGAAGAGACCAUGUCCUAAUCCAAUGGCAAUAGCAAUUUUAUAUAAUUUUAUUAAUCAGCAUGACUUAUUUUUUUCCUUUUUUUUCUUGAUUGAAAAACUUUCCCUAUGUUCCCAGUGUAAACUGGUACUACACUCAUUCAUUCAUUACUUUUUCUAUACAGCUCAUCUCUAGACUGAAGACACUGUGUAUAACUGGACUGUAAGUUAACGUGAGUGCCACCCAGGAAUAAGGCAUCACGAACAGUGUAUCUCCCAAAGCUUAUUAAUUUGCAAACUAAUGCGUAUUUUAGUGACGAUGACAGAUAUUGAACAGAUGGCAGUAGCCCACGUGUGGAAAACUAGUAAACAGAUACUUGAAUGAACAUUGCAGAUUUUCUGCUAAAAAUGUGUUAAUAUUCAUAAAAAAUCAAUAUAAAAAACUCAUCUACGCAGAUUUAGGUAGGGAAAAAUGUAGAAUUUAAAAUGUUUGACUUUUUAUUUCAGUUUUGUUUUUUGUUUUUUUCAUAAGGGCAACAUAUCUUCGAAAGGCAACCUUUGGGUGACCCCAAAAACUCCCCUUUUUCCUAUUAAAUUUCUGACCAAAGUUGUCCAAAUGCUCUAAAAUGAGGCUUCUUGAGAAAAAAACAGUACCUUUAAGCACAGAAGCUUAAUGGCAGACACGUUCUGGCAGAAGAAAAGACACACGUCAUGUCCAUUGACCUGCUAAUGGAUUUCUGCGACUCGGGAACAUGCUAUUUGCAAGCUACUGAAGAAAUUGCAGAUGACACCUUAAUGUAAAAUAAAUACUGAAAUUAAAUAAAUAAGAAGGGCUGUGAUUAUUCUGGCAGCAUGACAUGGUCCAGAACAUCGAGUACCUGCCGCUGUGUUCAUGCACAAAGGCUGAAAGUGAAUAAGAGCUGAAUAAGAUGCGAGUUUCAAUAUUUUUUACACUAUUUUUAAAUAUUCACUGAAUUAUUUGGGUUCGAAUGGGAACAUUUGAUUACAGCCUAGCCAGUAAUGAAUUAAAAAAAAAAAACUUUAAAAGACAAUAAAAAUGAUCUUAGCAGUAUGUUUGCUAAUAACUGUGAAGAUUUAGCUUUGCUUUUAAAUAACUAUAAAAAGAAUAUAAGGAAACAAAUAAUUUUGUUAAUUAGAGUUUUUAUGGUUUAUUUAUAUACAUUCAUGCGAUCUGUAGGAAAACAUCCGCCAGUUGAAAGGUACAAGAAAUUAUUUAAAAAAAUGUAUAAUUUAUAUAAUUUAUUUUGACCCCAAUUAGCUUUUAGCAUGGGUGUAGCAUGUUAGCUUAAAGCUACUGGCUUGAAAACCAGUUAAGCAAAUAAUUUUUUCAAAUAUUAUUUUAAUAUACUUAAUAUUAUAUUAAAAAUACUUACCGAGUUUUUUGAAGCUGCUGUUACUGACACUACUAUACUGUGCAUGGAUUGUACAGGUUGUUUUGAAGGCAGUGACAAAAAAAAAUACUGUGUCAAAUGCGGUGCCACCGAUGUGGCAUUUGCUUCACAGCGGGGUGCAGGAUGAAAGAGUCUCAUUGAUUCUAAUCAGCCUUCUCGGAAAAAUUUGACAGAAAUCCAGCUGUUACUUGACUGUUUCAUGUUUGCAAUUUCAAAUUCCAGCAACGCAAUGGAAGGCACAUCAAUAUUUAGUGACAAUCUGGGCAGUGCCACAGACGUCUGUGACAGAGAAACCAAAACACAACUCAAAGCCACGCUCAGAAAUGGCUGUAAAUAUUGAAAACAGCCAAAGCAGCUGUGGAGGUGUUUGAAAGGUGAGGUUAAGAGUGCAGAAGAAUAAAUUACUGCUUUUACUUUUGACUUCCAAAGGCCCGCCAUGUGUCCAAAUAAAUGGUCCAAUUUUAGUUUUUAGCAACACAUUUCUGUGAAAUCCAGGCUCUUUGUGUAUCAGUUCCAGUGAAAAUGUCCUCUGAACUUUUGGACUGCCAAAAAAAAAAAAACCUUCUAGGGGACGUAUCCCUGGAGGAUAGCAGUUCCUUAAAUGAUCCAGCUGCUACUGUUGUAGCUGCUUAAUUUAGGUUUCUGUUGAAUGUUUUUUGGAGAGCUUGGUCAUGUGACGGACAAUAUCUUUUUUUGUGUAUUUGAGGGUUGGAAAAAAAUAUAUAAUCUGUUGUUACUGGUUGCAGGUUUGGAUCUUUUUUGGGGAUUAUUCCUCACAAAUCAGAACUUUUUUUUUUUUUUCUGACCGUCAAUUGUCAUAAAUGUCACCGUGUGCAGAACGAUAAACCAAUCUAACUUCCAUCAGCAUAUAUUCUUUCCACAAUUCUCUCAUUAAGGCAACACUAAUACUCACAGAUAAUCACAUCAUAAGCCUUGUGCUUCCUGAGACCGACUCUCAGUAACCAGAAUCAACUGUGCAGGCAUCAUAAUGAACCAUAGUUACGUUUCAUUGCUGUGCAACCUCCAGGAGCAAUUCUCAUUAUGAAAAUCAGGUAAUGAGGUUUGUAUCGGCUGGCAGGUGGAGAUGGGGCGACCGACUGAAGGCAUUGCUUUCACACAGGAGACUGCUAUCUGUUUCCCAGGAUACUGCAUGUUCAUUAUUGUCGGCGUAACGAUGAAAGUUACAGAAGCAGACACAAUUAGGAGAAUGUCAGAUUGUAAAUUGGGGGUCAGACCAAAGCCACAUUUAAAAAGUGUGUCGCUGAUAGAUUUGUGUCUAACUAGGCCUGUACCUACACUGACUGGGCCUAGGGCGCCCCCUUGCACACGUUAAGCGUGAUUUGGAGCAUUAGCUCGAAUGUUGAUAUUUCCCCUGAUAUGGGAAAUUUGAAUGAUUGAUGAUUUAUUUUCAUAGUAAAAAAUUGUAAGCACACAUGUAAGACCUACAGUGACAAUUUUGACACUGAUUAAAAAUAUAUAAUGAAUAUAAUAAAUGAAAUAAAUGAAUGCCUGCUAAAGAGGCUAAAGUUUAAACAAACAACUUUUAAAGUGUGGAUUUGAGGCUGAAUGUAGGAUUAAGUCGUUAAUUAGCAUCUUAGGAGAAGUGAGGCAGCUCCGUCGUCCUGUGUGGGAGCAAAACACAAUAGGGGAAAACUGAAGAGCACUCGGUGAGAAACGAGGAGGAGGUGUGGUGGUCGUGAAAGGUCUGGGAGGUCGGUGUUCCUGCAUUGUUUCUUGGUAUGCUCCAGUUCCCGCCGUCAUCCCGGCUCUUUGUUAAGGACUGAACACAUGGGAUAUCUGGCUCCAGGGCUCUACUGCCAGUGGCGUGAAAGUCAAGGGUCAGCGCAUUUUCCAAUUCACUGCUUUACAGUACAACUAUUCAGGGGAGAAAAAAACGAAAUUUCUCUCUUUUAGUCAUGCAACAGGCGCUGAGCGGAGUAGGAGACUGUCACGCUCAGACAUUCCUAAUGACCAACAUGAUGGACGAAUUAGAAGUUAACGAUUAAAGAAAGCCUUCUCCUCUGUACUGGAAUUAAACUACACUUCCUUUUGCUCCAGGGUUUUUUCUGUUUUGGCCACUGAGAAUAAUGAGACUACACUCAAUGGAGUAGCACUGUGUUUGACAGUAACUGGCUGAUUCCCCAAAUAUGGCACAGGCAAACAAUCAAACUAAAAGCAAUUAAUCUGCCUGGCAUAUUUGAAAAAUAACCCAAAGUUGCACGCAAUUACUUUUCCCUUGUCUCGCGCUGAGUGCCAAAAAUUUGCCAGGGCUUAGGACUGAAAUGCUGUGUGCAUGUAUAAACAAAUGCAUCAGCUUGUUUAUGAAUGUUCAAAGUGAUCUGAAAGGUUGUAGUUAGUUGUGGCAAUCUGACUUGCAGAUUUGAUCCCCUGCUGUUACCCCCCUGACCGCAAUCACAGCAACAAUAGCCUUUUGCAGAAUCAUUGCUGUCACAGUUUCAGCUAUUUUGUGAGAAGUGCUCCGGCUGCUUUGGGCAGAAGUCAGAGCAGAGCUCUUCAACGAGCAUAAGAUGGUGGUGUUCAGAUCAGGGACAGCGUGAACAUAAAUGGUUAUUUUUAUGUGGUGGCCAUUUCAAAAAUGGGUUUUUAAAAGGCUACACGUCUUCCUGAAAAUAAUGCAUCUGAAAACAAAAUUUAGUUUGGGUUAUAUGGUGUUGUUUCGCUGGCCUUGGCGCUAGAUGCGAUUCAGUUUCUGCCAAAGUGUGUUAAGAGCAUAUCGUGCUUUUGCAGGCAUAAAGGCAUUAAAGCAAAAGCAAAGUAUAUCUUUUCGGAUCGAAAUAGAAAAAGCUAGCUAUAACUCUUUCGUUUUCAGAUUUUAUUUUGGUCAGUCCUGCAAAGAUGACUGUUUGCCUACAUUGUUAACGUCAAAAGGACUAAAUUGUUGUUGUUAAAUUCUGUAUGUAGAAUGGCGACUUAAGGUUGCGGCUAAGCUUUUCAAUAUAUUUUGCUAUCGAAGUCCUGUGUGUUGACCUAAAUAUUUGAACUUCCACUUCUGUUAACCUUUCAGCCGAGUUCUACUGAGGCAGUAUGCUAAAGUCUGUGAUAAUUGGCACUAAUAGGUGACCAAUUCACCAGUGUCUCCAAGGUUGUGAAGAACGUUUCAAAGCAUUUUAAAACCCAAAAUAUGUUCGCCAAUAAGGAGAAUCUGUGUUACAUUUGACAGUUAGGUGUGAAUUUAAAUGGACGUCUAAAAUUGCAGCACUUUUAGAGUUAUUUGAAUAAUGACUCGCACUGGAUAAAAAUUAAAAUGCAUUUAUUAGUCUAGAAUCUUAGCUCGUCAUCAUCCUUCAUUAACUCUCAGAUUUCAAUAGUCAUGUAUUCUGUGGCUAAUUAAAGCCAAAGAGCUGUUUGCAGUAUUGUUAAUAUUAUGCCUCCCCAUGCUUCUCACAUGUAUGUUGCCUCAUGUUAGCAUCUCCCAGUGGCACAGUUUGUUCACAGUUCACAGUUCUUCCCUAAACAUUAACAAAUACUGAUGUUAGCAUCUUUGAAAUGACUUCCCCGAGGCUACGCUGACUGAACAGAUGCUUUAGUGCCGAGUAUUUUUUUUAUUUUUUUGCUUCUUAGUCAUAAUUUUUUUUUUAAGCUUUAUGCAAAAACUACUGUUUUGGGAAACAAAACCUUUCGUCCUCUGAUGUCCAGUACAGUAAAGAAGAUGGCAGCAUAUAGUAGGCCUGGGCUUUAAGCUUUCAAAUAGUUAACAUGGUCAGAAGGGGGAGGGAGGGCUGUGCUCCGUGUGUGUUUGUGUGUUCAAGGUCAUAAUCCAGAGAAAAUACACAGGCUGAACAAACAGGAGCUGGAACAGAUAAGAUUUAAUGGUGAACCUCUAAGUACAGGACAAUUUCUCCUCCAUGAUCUCACCAGAAUCAUCACCUCUGCUGCUUGGUUUGUGUCAGGAGAUUUUGACCUCCCUCUCUUCUGCUGAUAUUGUCGCUGCUUAUUUGUUUUUACUGCGGGGUAAUUUCACAGUCCACCGUAAAUCCCGGGAGAAAGGAUUUAAAGGCGGAUUGAGGCAAAUAUUCAUGGGCAUAACCUUAUUAUAUGGACUUAUUCGGACAGAGACUGGCUGAUGUGAACGUCACAUCAAGUUAGCAUGCCUAGCUUUAUCGCUAACUGGAUAUUUGUAUAUAGCAAAUAUCUAUUUCAUUAACAUAGGUGUUUGUAGUCUGCAAUUGUUUUCUUUUUUGUUGGAUUCUUGCUAUUUUUCUGGUACAUAGUAAUUGCUGCUUCUGGCUGUACUAUAUUAGUUAUUAUAGUUAUAGUUAUUAUAGUUAGAACGUCUUGACUAACCUAAGAGCGUAUUUAAACAUUUUGAGAUCAUUCAUCUAAUAUUUAGUCUUAGAACCAUAUGUCUUUGGGGUUUUUUUUGUGCAAAAUUUAAGAUGAUUUAUGUAACCGUAACUAAAUUAAUCUAUCAUCAAAUAUAUUUGACACAUAACAUAUUUAAAAUCAAUACAUUUUGGAUCAUUUAUUUAAAAGAAACUUCAUUAAAGUAUUGUUAUGCAUCAUAUACAGCUACUAAAGUGCACUUUCUUAUACCAAAUUCUCUAUAAUCCAGGUUGUAACAGCUCUGUGGUAUUUUUACACGCAAUAUAAAAAUUGACCCUUCAUUGAAAAACUGUUGGACACCUCUGUCUCAGUUCAAUAUAUGCAACUAUUUUAGUCCCUGCGAUAUUCCAAACGUCAGUAAUUCCAUAACUGUGUUUUAUUGGCCUGCUGUAGUCGACACCAUUAAAACAGCAGACAGAGCGUUGGCUCUGGACCAGGAAGACAAAAAGAACAUAUUGAGUCUACUAUACUUCACCUAAAUUGACCAGACAUUGUUGGCUGUGUUCUGGCCGCCUCUGUUUUUUCUCAGCAAUUCCUGGACAGGAAGGUUUUUAAUGGAUUGCUCCACUACAACACGAGCCAAGGUUACGGCGGGGGCUAGUCAUGUCUGCUCUCGUCAUCUUUACUCUUCAGUGCUGUAGUUCAUGACCGUGCCGACCCCGACUGCUACCAAGUCCGGGCACUCAGACCAGUCUGGUUCUCUGCCACGAGUCAGCUUCACUUCCACUAAUAACAUUCCGAUUGCCGUCAUGUUUGGUUUGCUUGUCCGAGCACUUUAUUUCCAAAAGGAGUUUCGGCCUCCGCUGACCUUUCCAUUUGUAGAAACGAAGCAAUCGUUCACAAAUCACCCCACCAAGUGUAAAAUAUCCAAACAGUUUGAUAUUGCGGACUUAAUGAAAUGGGCUCACACUUCUUCGCCGCAAUUAUAGGAAAAGGUCAGCAGCAUAACUGAUGCUGAGCCUCGACAUGAUUGUCCUACUUCACAUCUUCCAGUGUUUGGCCCGGUCAACAUCAGUUCAGACUGUGUUGUACUGCAUUUUGACUGUACAUAGCCUUUUUUCCCCCACACGAUCAGAAAUAACUAAUUUGUGGUGCCAGCUCAGUUUGACGUUUACUCUGAAAUGAGUAUUUUAUGCUACAUUUGGUUCUGAUAUAAUACAGUCAUUUAUGAGUUUGAGGGAUAUUAGUGGUCCUUGGACCGUGACUGUGAAAAUUACCCUUACUUGUAAUUAUGAGUUUCUUUGCAAACGUAGCCCAAGAAGUAAGAAAGAAAAAGAAAAAAAAAACUGAUAAAAUUACAUUUCGCUGAAGCCAAAGUCGUUUUCACUAAAUUAUAUACCGUCCAUAGAUGAGAUAACAUUAAUUUUCAGUAAUAAGACCCUAAUCACAUUACACAAAUGAGAAAAGUAUAACAUCCCUUUUACACAUCACGGGAAUAUGCGCAGUGUCUAUUUAAGUUGAAGCUACUCCCUGUCCGGUCUUUAAAAUAGGACACAGAGGACACUGUCUGCCUUCAGGCUUUGUUAAAUGUAAUGCUGUAACAACAGUAUAACCAGCAGAGGUGUGGACUCAGCACAACUGCAGCCACUGCAGGAGUCAGUCUCCACAUGCCACUGACUCUUGGUUUACGAAGAA